CUUGGUGGCUUAGGCGAAGGGGGUACACCUGAUCCCAUCCCGAACUCAGAAGUUAAGCCCUUCAGCGCCGAUGAUACUUGGGUUUUAACCCCGGGAAAGUAGGUCGCCGCCAAGA
rnacentral:rRNA from 1 species